rnacentral:rRNA from 1 species
GAUGAACGCUGACAGAAUGCUUAACACAUGCAAGUCGAUUCGAUUUACCUUCGGGUAUUGAGGAUGGCGGACGGGUGAGUAACGCGUAAGGAACUUGCCUCUUGGUCUGGGACAACUGUUGGAAACGACAGCUAAUACCGGAUAUUAUGAGAUUCUCGCAUGGGAAACUUAUGAAAGCUAUAUGCGCCAAGAGAGAGCCUUGCGUUCCAUUAGCUAGUUGGUGGGGUAACGGCCCACCAAGGCGACGAUGGAUAGCCGGCCUGAGAGGGUGAACGGCCACAAGGGGACUGAGACACGGCCCUUACUCCUACGGGAGGCAGCAGUGGGGAAUAUUGGACAAUGGGCCACAAGCCUGAUCCAGCAAUUCUGUGUGCACGAUGAAGGUCUUCGGAUUGUAAAGUGCUUUCAGUUGGGAAGAAGAAAGUGACGGUACCAACAGAAGAAGCGACGGCUAAAUACGUGCCAGCAGCCGCGGUAAUACGUAUGUCGCAAGCGUUAUCCGGAUUUAUUGGGCGUAAAGCGCGUCUAGGCGGAAAAAUAAGUCUGAUGUUAAAAUGCGGGGCUCAACUCCGUAUUGCGUUGGAAACUGUUUUUCUAGAGUACUGGAGAGGUGGGCGGAACUACAAGUGUAGAGGUGAAAUUCNUA